ensembl:misc_RNA 7SK 7SK RNA
GGAUGUGAGGACAAUCUGGCUCCAACAUCUGUCACCCCAUUGAUCUCCAGAGUUGAUUCAGCUGAUCUGGCUGGUUAGGCAGGUGUCCUCUUCCUCCCUCACCACUCC